rnacentral:rRNA from 1 species
UACGUAGGGUGCGAGCGUUGUCCGGAAUUCUGGGCGUAAAGAGCUCGUAGGUGGUUGUCGCGUUGUUCGUGAAACUCACAGCUUAACUGUGGGCGUGCGGGCGAUACGGGCAGACUGGAGUACUGCAGGGGAGACUGGAAUUCCUGGUGUAGCGGUGGAAGUGCGCAGAUAUCAGGAGGAACACCGGUGGCGAAGGCGGGUCUCUGGGCAGUAACUGACGCUGGAGGAGCGAAAGCGUGGGGAGCAAACGGG